rnacentral:misc_RNA from 1 species
AGCAGCCGCGGUAAUUCCAGCUCCAAUAGCGUAUAUUAAAGUUGCUGCAGUUAAAAAGCUCGUAGUUGAAUUUCGGGAUCAAUAUGUUGGUCGUGCCUCGGUACGUACUAGCUUAUUGGUUUCUUCCUUCUGACGAACCAUAAUGUCAUUUAUUUGGUGUUAUGGGGAAUCAGGACUGUUACUUUGAAAAAAUUAGAGUGUUUAAAGCAGGCUCACGCUUGAAUACAUUAGCAUGGAAUAAUGAAAUAGGACGUUUGAUUCUAUUUUGUUGGUUUCUAGGAUCGACGUAAUGAUUAAUAGGGAUAGUUGGGGGCAUUAGUAUUCAAUUGUCAGAGGUGAAAUUCUUGGAUUUAUUGAAGACUAACUACUGCGAAAGCAUUUGCCAAGGAUGUUUUCAUUAAUCAAGAACGAAAGUUAGGGGAUCGAAGACGAUCAGAUACCGUCGUAGUCUUAACCAUAAACUAUGCCGACUAGGGAUCGGAUGAUGUUAAUUUUUUAAUGACUCAUUCGGCGUCCG